UCCUGGCUCAGGAUGAACGCUGGCGGUAUGCUUAACACAUGCAAGUCGUACGAAGAUCUUUGAUCUUAGUGGCGGACGGGUGAGUAACACGUGAGAAUCUGCCCUUAGGAAGAGGAUAACAGCUGGAAACGGUUGCUAAUACUCUAUACGCCGAGAAGGUAAAAGGAUUUAUCCACCUUAGGAAGAGCUCGCGUCUGAUUAGCUUGUUGGUAAGGUAAUGGCUUACCAAGGCGACGAUCAGUAGCUGGUUUGAGAGGACGACCAGCCACACUGGGACUGAGACACGGCCCAGACUCCUACGGGAGGCAGCAGGUGGGGAAUUUUUCCGCAAUGGGGCGAAAGCCUGACGGAGCAAUACCGCGUGAGGGAUGAAAGCCUGUGGGUUGUAAACCUCUUUUCUCAAGGAAGAAGUUCUGACGGUACUUGAGGAAUAAGCAUCGGCUAACUCUGUG
rnacentral:rRNA from 1 species